CGGCGAAUGUGUGCGUGCGUGUACUAUGGCAGCGGCUUUUUGGCUGCGCUUGGUAUGUGUGCUGUGCUUCCUUGCUGGUGCCCUGUAUUGUGGUGGGCGCCAAUGUCAGUUCGUAAACCGCGGGAAAUGACUACCGAGGAGGUAAGGCUUACGCUUGCGUUUGUCUGUUAUAUCUUGGUGGACGAGUAGUUGUGGUUGGGACUGAGGUGCCUACAACGUGCUUUUGAGUGGGACUGCGUCUCCGUGUGCGCCGUGUGCGGAUAGCUUGCUAUAUGCGUGUGGUUGUGUAUGGAUUGAUGCGGACUUUAACUUGUUGCCGUUCGGGACGUUGGCGAAAUGGAGCGAUUUGACCCGUCUUGAAACACGGACCAAGGAGUCUAACAUGUGUGCAAGUGUUAGGGUGUCGAAACCCGGACGCGUAAUUAACGUGAAGGGC
rnacentral:rRNA from 1 species